rfam:Gossypium raimondii Chr02_contig_1363, whole genome shotgun sequence.
UGUUAAAAAUUCCAUCCAUUUUUACUAUUAAAACUUGGUGUAGUUGACAAAAUAACCAAAUAAUUAUACGUGACAUGUCACAUACACCUCAUGCUAACAUAUAAAGACUAAUUUUGUAAUACUAAAAAUGAAUGGAUUUAUAGAAA